rnacentral:rRNA from 1 species
UAUGGCGACCGGCGCACGGGUGAGUAACACGUAUCCAACCUGCCGAUGACUCGGGGAUAGCCUUUCGAAAGAAAGAUUAAUACCCGAUGGCAUAGUUCUUCCGCAUGGUAGAACUAUUAAAGAAUUUCGGUCAUCGAUGGGGAUGCGUUCCAUUAGGUUGUUGGCGGGGUAACGGCCCACCAAGUCUUCGAUGGAUAGGGGUUCUGAGAGGAAGGUCCCCCACAUUGGAACUGAGACACGGUCCAA